UAGGGAAUCUUCGGCAAUGGACGAAAGUCUGACCGAGCAACGCCGCGUGAGUGAAGAAGGUUUUCGGAUCGUAAAACUCUGUUGGUAGAGAAGAACGUUGAUGAGAGUGGAAAGCUCAUCAAGUGACGGUAACUACCCAGAAAGGGACGGCUAACUACGUGCCAG
rnacentral:rRNA from 1 species